CCUCUGACCUGCCGCGGCCCAAGAUCCCUCCAGCCUUUACAGACAGCCCGACUCCCACCUGGACAGAAGGAGGGCAGGAACGCCACAGGCCCUGAGCAAAGCUCUCUGGAACCCCCUUCACUGUAGUUCAGUGAGGCUUUCCCGCGAUGACUAAAAGGCUUUCAGCAAUGGCAGCCACCGGCCCCGCUGGGGAGAAGGGCGGUUUCUCAUGGGAGGAUCUCCCUCUCUCGGUGAGCGCAUCAUCGUGUUGCCUUCAGUGGAGGCUGGAGAGGAGUGCCGCAAGAGUGGGUCCCUAGCUCUACUAGAAAAUCCUGGAAAUGAACCAGUUGCUUGGCCACCUGACCAGCUGCUGAAACCGUGGAGACGAUUGCGUGAGAAGAUGCAUCAUGACAGAGAAGGGAAGAACUUCCUCGAGAGAAGAAAGUGCUGGGCAGACAGAGCAACAGUUGUCUCUUAUUAAUCUUGUCUCUUUACUCUGUAUUUGAUGCUUUGAUUUCCGGGAUGGACUGCCCCUCCCAGGGUCAGCCAAUGCCUAGAGUUAGUAAAAGCUCACCUGCUCGGGAGUCUUUCAUAUGCAAACCAGCCAAAACAGCUCCUUGGCCAACCACCUCCUAUAAGCUGCUCUCGCACUCAGGCCACGACCCCUCUGCCCCAGUCGCUCAGGUCCUGGGACCCGACAACCAGGGUCUGCUUGGUCUGCGUGGUCUCUGCUGGGCUCUCACAAGGCCACGGCCACAGACAGGCUGCCCUGGGUGAGGAACCCUCCCCGUUCUUGUCACGUGCGUCCAGGGCAGCGGGCCUGGUCGCGGCACGAGGGUCACUCAGAUGGUCACUCUGUCCAGUGCGGCCAGGUAGCACGCUAGGUGCUGGAGACAGUCCCAGAAGAAAGCCUCUCCUUUUCCACUGUGUUAGAACCUGUGACAGCUGAGAGGGACCCUUGGCAGCCACACGUUCCAUGGUACAAAGCGGGGCCCCAGGGCCGGGCAGGUGGUCAAUUAUUCACUUUCCCUUGGGGGAAAGGAGAUACAGUGGCUCUUUUUCAACCCCAUGGAAUUUUCCAGCUUCCAGUGUGGCUUUUGUAAGGUGUUAAUUAUUGGUUAGGGUCUUAGGAGAGGUCAGCAGAUCCGAGGUUGGAAGCAAGGAGUCGCAUGACGGAGGGGAGGGCGGGGGACCGCGACCACACUCCAGCCGGAAGACUGCGGGCUCACCCUCAGCUCAGCCCCCAACACAGUCUGUAAACUCAGGUCCAAGAGCCUCCCGAAGCUUCGUCUUCCCACCAGUAAAAUUGGGGUGAUACCUCCCCACCUCACAGCCCAGCCGAGGGGAUCAAAUGAGACACUGGCUGUGAAGAUUUUUUGGCAAAUAUAAGGUAACCAAUAUUA